UAAAAACAACAACAAUAUCGAGGCGUUUGGAUGCAUUCGCCAAGAUUCCAUCUUCGAAUCGAACAGAAAUCUUGAAAAGAGGGAAAGGGGAGCGAAAAAAGAGUCAGAAAUCUUGAAAAGAGGGAAAAGGAAGCGAAGAGUCUGAGGAUUUGAAACUCGGGAAAGAAGAUUAAUGCACAAAAGAGUCAGAGGCAAGUGAUCUAAACGACCCCAGCCAAACAACAUUCAUUGUACGAUUGCGGGCAAGACAUAACAAGUCACAACAAUAACCAAACAAACACAUCUUGCGUUGAUUCCCCUCACACACUCUCUCUCUCCCUACAUAGAAGAAAUCAUAACACCACAAAGCAGGGAGAGUUUGCCACCACCAGCCACAAAGAGAUCACUAUUAUUAGCACCCAUUAUUGCCACACAUCAUGUGUUGCCUCCUCCCUCUCCCCUUGCAUAGAAGAAAUCAUAACACCACGAAGCAGCAAGAGUUGGCCGCCACAAAGAGAUUAUAUUUUUAACACCCAUUAUUGGCACCCUUACAACCUACAAAUAUUAUCUACAGCCACCUACCACUAUACCCACCAACAACCUGUUAAAGUAAAUCAAGCAGAAAAUAUCAAGCAAAAUACCUAAUAAUAACAACAACAAAAACAUCAACGAGUGUCAUCCAGCAACAAAAGAAAGUAACAUAAACGACAACAAAAUACCUUAAUAUCAACAUCAUACGACGUUGAUUCAUGAGAAAUUCGUAUUCUCCCAAACAGCAGCAACAGUUCUCACACUAACCAACGACGUCGACGACGUCUGGCUGCAACGGCGACGCCGACGUCAACGUGGCCAUUGGCAAAAAAAUAUAAAAUAAACACAAAUAUCAUCUCCCCCUUUACACCCAUUACUUACACUGCAGUCAACAGUUACUCCCUCACAUACUCACAGCUUGGGUUUCCUUACGCUCUCUCUCCGUCUCAUAUAUUUAUCCCCAAUUGAGAAUAAACCACGACGACGAACGAACGACCCCACACAAAAGAUCAUUCGUUUGUUUUGUUUGUUUGUUUGCUCAACGUUGUAUUUAUUGUGAUGUGUUGUUGGUGACGGUGACGGUGAUGAUGAUGUGCCUGCCGUGUUUACCAUUAUUAUUGUUGUUGUUUUUGUUGCCCCGAGAGUACCCCAAGUGAGUGUGUAUGUGGGGAUUGUGUCUCAGUUACUUAGUUUGUUUGUUGUAUUUUUUUUUUUUUUUUUGGCAAAUGCUGUAGUUUAUUUAAAUCGCAGUUAAGUUACUCCGGCUUUAUCAGAACCAAUUCAACUGUUAUACCGUUGACGACGACGACGGACGAAAAAGACCGGCCGACCGACAACGUAAAACAACAUUAUCGUCGUAAUCAUCGUAGUAGUUACCGUGCGUGGUUUAUCUGCUGCCUGUUUUUAGCAAAAAUCAUUUAGUUGCGCGACGGCAACCGCCAACAUCGAACCAAAAAGUUCGCAUCGCAUUAAAGUCUCGAAAUAAAAAAGGCAAACAGGCACUUUUCGGGAGAAGAGUAUAUCAAGUGAAACCGCAGCAUAAUUUUUGUGUGAAUUUUGAAAUUACCAAAAAAA
rnacentral:sRNA from 1 species